UACGUAGGGUGCGAGCGUUAAUCGGAAUUACUGGGCGUAAAGCGUGCGCAGGCGGUGAUGUAAGACAGAUGUGAAAUCCCCGGGCUCAACCUGGGACCUGCAUUUGUGACUGCAUCGCUAGAGUACGGCAGAGGGGGAUGGAAUUCCGCGUGUAGCAGUGAAAUGCGUAGAUAUGCGGAGGAACACCGAUGGCGAAGGCAGCCCCCUGGGCUAGCACUGACGCUCAGGCACGAAAGCGUGGGGAGCAAAC
rnacentral:rRNA from 1 species